rnacentral:rRNA from 1 species
GACGAACGCUGGCGGCGUGCUUAACACAUGCAAGUCGAACGGACAGGCCCUGCUCUUGUGGGUUGCUCGAUUGGCGAACGGGUGAGUAACACGUGAGUAACCUGCCCUUGACUUUGGGAUAACUUCAGGAAACUGGGGCUAAUACCGGAUAGGAGCUCCUGCUCCAUGUUGGGGGUUGGAAAGUUUCGGCGGUUGGGGAUGGACUCGCGGCUUAUCAGCUUGUUGGUGUGGUAGUGGCUUACCAAGGCUUUGACGGGUAGCCGGCCUGAGAGGGUGACCGGCCACAAUGGGACUACGAUACGGCGCAGAAUCCUACGGGAGGCAGCAGUGGGGAAUAUUGCACAGUGGGCGGAAGCCUGAUGCAGCAACGCCGCGUGCGGGAUGACGGCCUUCGGGUUGUAAACCGCUUUCGCCUGUGACGAAGCGUGAGUGACGGUAAUGGGUAAAGAAGCACCGGCUAACUACGUG